GACGAACGCUGGCGGCGUGCUUAACACAUGCAAGUCGAACGGAAAGGCCCUGCUUUUGUGGGGUGCUCGAGUGGCGAACGGGUGAGUAACACGUGAGUAACCUGCCCUUGACUUUGGGAUAACUUCAGGAAACUGGGGCUAAUACCGGAUAGGAGCUCCUGCUGCAUGGUGGGGGUUGGAAAGUUUCGGCGGUUGGGGAUGGACUCGCGGCUUAUCAGCUUGUUGGUGGGGUAGUGGCUUACCAAGGCUUUGACGGGUAGCCGGCCUGAGAGGGUGACCGGCCACAUGGGGCGUGGGAUACGGCCCGGACUGCAGCGGGAGGCAGCAGCGCGGAAUGCUGGCUGACGGGCGGAGGCGUGUUGCAGCACUGCCGCGUGCGGGAUGCGUGCGUGCGGUGAGUAACCAGAUAUCGCCCGUAACAAAGCGUGACUGCCGGUGCUGGGUAAAGCAGCAAGGGCUAACUAUGUG
rnacentral:rRNA from 1 species